GAAAAGAAAAACAAUCAGAUGUACAGGACAGGUUUCCCAAAAGCACACACUAAAACUCAUUCUCUUACUGGGUCAUUUGUCAAUAUCUGUCCUGGAGUCAAUGGUUAGGGAGCCUUAUCUCAGCCUGUCACAUUGUCUUUGUUUUAAAAUUGUACACUGCCUGCCUCAUACCAGCUGGGUGUCACUGGGCAGAUAGAGGUAGAGGCAUCCCUGCCAGUGGUUGGGAGUGGAAUGUAUAAUCAGAUAAUACAAACCUGUAAUUCCGGGUGGAAAAUAACUCCAAGACUUGUGUGUAGCCUCCUCUGACUCUUGGUUCAGAUAGCUUGUAUGUCAGCUAAAAAAUGCCCCCUGUCCCCUCCCCACAAAAUAUCCAUGUCAAAUCCCAGAAACCUGUGAAUAUUACCUUAUAUGGCAAAAGAUAUGAUCUGGAGAGGGGGAGCUUAUGCUGAAUAUCCAUGUAUGUCCCAAAUAGAAUCAUGGGAGGCAGAGGGAGGAUCGUGAACACACGAAGACAGAGGUGGCCAUGUGAAAUGGCCAUGUGGCUGAGAUGCAGCCACAACCAAGGAAUGCCAAGAGCUACCAGAGCUGGGACAGGCAAGAAGUGGAUUCCUGCUCAGAGCCUUUGGAGGGAGCAAGACCUUCUGAAGGGGACUCUGACUGAAACAGAUCAAAAUCUGAAUGGGCUAGGACAUUGGAACCGGGUCAGAAUCAGCCUGUAAUUACGAAGUGGCCUGGAACGUCAUCUCCACACCCCUCACCCAGUGUAGGGUCUGGCGUGCAAGGACUCAAUAAAUAUCUGCUUAAGGAAGACAGAUUGGUCCCUGGGAAGAGAGAGCCCAGCUCCUUCCUGAAUUCUUCAGCCAUACUGCAGAUGUUACUUGUGUGCAGAGAGCUGGGUGAGGUUAGCAAAAGGCCUGAGCAACUGUGCACAUAUCCUACCCCUGCCAAUUGUUAGAUGUGUGCCUUUAUGUCACACCAACAGCUCCUGAUAUCCCUAUUUUAUUUCAACAUAUAUGAGACAGCUGACAAAGAUGGUAAAAUACAGGAAGGUUUAAGAAGAGAAGAAAAUAACAGGAGGAAGGUAAAAUAAAGACAAGAAAAAAAAGGUGAAGCUAUAGGGAAAGUUAACAUGAAAAAUUUAUAUCAGAAUUCUGAGGCCUUUCAUGGGGGCCAGCUCUAUCCUUCCAGGCUGCUGGUGAAAAGAGGGAAUAACCAAUUUUAUGAUUUACACAAGCCAGAAGUUGGAAACUAUCAGUUACUUGGCAGAAGUAUGACUGCUGCUACUGAUAAAAUCUAAGAGGAGAUCCUCCUAGAUGUCUCAGUGACAUUGUCAUCAAUCAGGCAGCCCUGACUUCAUUGGCCUCUUUUGUAUAUUGUCUUUCAUUGUUGGCCAAAGCCUUCACAACAAAAAAUGUCAUUCAGGUACAAUAAUUUUGAGAGGCAAAGCAACAUGUUCCAGGCAUGUGCAUUCCAAGGUUCCGGUAGAACCUAGGAUAUAAUUCUAGGUACCCAUGCAUCUAUAGGCACUGUAUGGUCUUUAAGAGAAUGCUUUCUGGCAAGCAUGUGGUAAGCAUAUGCCCUAAAUCUUUGAUUAAGGAACAGGAGCUUAUAGAAAACAUACAAAGAUAAGAGAAUCUGCAGUUCACACAUCUGAUCCUCAUGAGCUUCUCUCCUUAACCCUGGUCCAAACCUGUGGGCUAAGGCAUUCUCAGUGGAUGGUUCGGGGUUCCUUCUACCCUGUACCUAUUUCCCUCAACUCCCAGGGACUGUGGUGGACAUCAGCUGGUUCGAAGAACUGUGAGGGCCCUUUGGAGAGGGUGAUGUUUGGACAUUGUCACUACUGCACUGGGACACAAUUUAAAGAUACAGAAGAUACCAGGAAGGAGCAAGGGAACACGAACUCACUAAUUCUGGGCUAUUGUCCCUGCUCUCUGAGAGACACAUGACAGGUGGUGUCCCAACUAUGCCUGACCAGUAGUACUUCUGAGUAAAAUCUCAAGGUGCUUGCUCUUGGGUGCUCCUAGGACUCACCAUCAGGCCCCAGCGGCCAGCCUUCUAGCAGCCAAAGGGCAGAAACAGCAGUGAGCCAUGUGGUCUACACAAUCCAACAGAGAUCUCAUUUUAAGUAAAUUUACAUGUUUUACUAACUUAGGGCAGGUACAAAAAUACGUACCCCAGAGACAGGUGGUCACUAGAGAAAAAUGUGAGGUGCCUCUGCCCAAGGUGCACUGACUGUGGCAGAUUGGCCGGCUUCUGCCUUACCACACCCACACAAGCCUCACUGCCCAAGGCUCUUUCCUCUCUAGCACUAUACACGUGCCUGGAGGCAGGUGGAAGAAUGUUAAAUACACACCUAGAUGAUCUAGAAAAAGCAGUGAAAGAGCUGGAACUGGAGCUCAGUGGUAGAGCUCUUGCCAAGGAUGAGCAAGGCCCUAGUUUCCAUCCCCUUUAAAAAAUAAAAAUAAAAAGGUAGUAAAACCAAGGAAGGUUUGAAUUGGUGAACAAAAGGGGCUGGAGGCCAGGGAGCAAGGAGCAGCUUCCAUUCAACAGAGGCCUUGGGUUCAUUUCCACCAGCUCCAUCGUCUCCUGGCAAACAGGAGCAAGUAGCUGUUUGGGGGAACUCUCCCUGGUUCCUCUGAUGAAGCCAGCAACAGGGACCACCUACAACUACGUGCUGUUUCCUAGUUUCAUUUGUGGUUUCUGAUUGCUAGAUUCCAUUCCUCUGGCCUGCAAUUCAGUGAGAAUCAUCUUAGCAAACACCAAAGGAAAAGAAAAAAGAAAA